UACGUAGGGUGCAAGCGUUAAUCGGAAUUACUGGGCGUUAAGAGCUCGUAGGCGGUUUGUCGCGUCUGCCGUGAAGUCCGGGGCUCAACUCCGGAUCUGCGGUGGGUACGGGCAGACUAGAGUGAUGGUAGGGGAGACUGGAAUUCCUGGUGUAGCGGUGAAAUGCGCAGAGUAUCAGGAGGAACACCGAUGGCGAAGGCAGGCUCUGGGCAGUUAACUGCGCUGAGGAGCGAAAGCAUGGGGAGCGAACGG
rnacentral:rRNA from 1 species